UACAGAGGUCCCAAGCGUUGUUCGGAGUUACUGGGCGUAAAGGGUGUGUAGGCGGUUGUUUAAGUUUGGUGUGAAAUCUCCCGGCUCAACUGGGAGGGUGCGCCGAAUACUGAAUGACUUGGAGUGCGGGAGAGGAAAGUGGAAUUCCUGGUGUAGCGGUGAAAUGCGUAGAUAUCAGGAGGAACACCGGUGGUGUAGACGGCUUUCUGGACCGUAACUGACGCUGAGACACGAAAGCGUGGGUAGCAAACAGG
rnacentral:rRNA from 1 species